rnacentral:lncRNA from 1 species
UUUGGGAGGCCAAGGCAGGCGGAUCACGAGGUCAGGAGAUCAAGGCCAUCCUGGCUAACACGGUGAAACCCCGUCUCUACUAAAAAUACAAAAAAAAGUUAGCCGGGCGCGGUGGCGGGCGCCUGUGGUCCCAGCUACUCGGGAGGCUGAGGCGGGAGAAUGGCGUGAACCCGGGAGGCGGAGCUUGCAGUGAGCCGAGAUUGCGCCACUGCAGUCCGCAGUCCGACCUGGGCGACAGAGCGA